GACCGGGAUGCCGAUCUGGUGACGGCAGAUGACUCCGGUGUACUGUGUGUCUGGAAGUCUGGGGAAGAUUUCCGGUUGGUGACGAAGAUUUCGGCGUAUGGGGUCACCUGCUCCUCAGUGAAGUUGUGGGACGGGGUAAUUGCCGCGGCUUACGGCACCGGGCAGAUCCGACUGUAUGAUGCCAGAACUGGAGCUAUAAGUGCUGAGAUGGAUUCCCAUGCCAGGUGGAUCUACACCCUGGACAUCGCUCCCGAGACCGGAAGAUUGCUCUCGGGGGCAGAGGACUCCUUUGUACAGAUCUGGCAGCUGCAUCGCGGUGAAGAUUCGGGGGUCAUUGAGGUCGAGCAUCGUCACUCGGAGUGUGUGACAGACACCCAGAUCUGCGGCGCCCGCUUCUGUGACCCCCAAGGAUCAUCCUUUGCUGUGACCGGCUACGACCUGAAUGAGAUCAUCAGAUACGUGCAGCUAUAAGAAGGGAAGGCUCCAGACUUAUCAUCAGAUACACCUCACCGUGCACCAUGGAGGCAAUAGAGAUCCAGAUAAUCUCAUAGCUGGACAAGAUUCCUGAUGACAAGAACGUUUUAUUAUUUCCUCAGAACUAGAAGAGGAAGUUCUUCAAGAAUUUUUCAUUUCUGAGAAAACCCUUUUGAAUAGAGAAGCUAUGGGCAAAAUCAAAUCAACCAUAAGCACCAUCCAGCGAAGAGACGUCACAGUAUUCCCUGUAUCGUAUGGAGCCACAUCUUUAUAUUCCCCAAAAAUGUCUGAUCAAGAACAUUUCCAAGAAUCGCCAUCAAGAUACAAGAGACUGUCUAUCAGUUAUAAUUAUGGGCUCUCCCCAGACCCCACAAUUCACACAACAUUACGCUUCUGACUUCCCAAAGACUCCAGGGAAUUAAAGUAAUACCAUACCUAGACAACUGGCUUCUCAUACCCUACUUCUUUAGCAUCUACAACUCUCAAGACCUCCUGAAGAAAAGUGGGACUUCCCAUCAAUUUGAGCAAAUUUAAUCUGGUUCCAUCAAUUUGGGUCUUAUCACAGAUUAUAACUGCCAGAGGCUUUUUCUUCCAUUGAAGACACAAUCCAAACUGAAGCCACACAUUCUUCAUCUUGUGAAGUCUCCAGCAGACACCAUCUGGGCAGCAAAUAAGGUGUUGAGUUUGGUGACAGCACUAAUAAUAGUAGUCCUGUGGGUUAAGGUUUAUAUUUGAGAUCCACAACCUGGGACAUGAAUGUUCACUAUCUGCCCGUUUUACUUUUUUCCCCUCUCUCCCACAGGACUCUUCAAUGGUCCCUCAAAAAUCUGUCCCAGGGCAACAGUUCCAAGCCUCAGACUCAAAACAAUCCAUCUUGCCCUACAGUACCACUGCUCAAGAACAAGGCUGUGCUUGUGCAAUCGUACAAUGCAGUCUUGGUAAGGGGGGACAAGAGCCCCAAUGUUGUAAAUAGAGUGCAUGAUCUUGAUGGCCUGGGCAGAAGACCAUCUUCUGUUCCUCUCAGCAGUUCAUAUCAAAGGAUCCCCUUAUAUUCAAGUGGAUCUGCUGAGUCCGAGGAUCUUAAGAUCCCAAUGAGUGAGAAUUGAACCCCAAAUACUUUAAGUAGAUAACACAAAGAGAGAAACACAGCUGCACAUCCACCAUUUGUAAUUUGAUCUACUUGCUUCUCAGCAUAAUUUCAAAAAU